GAUGGAACUCAAAUAGUUCAAUCAACAGAAUAAUUUGUUUCAAACUCGAAUCAUCAAGAAACAAAUAAAUCUAGCGUGAAGCCAACACGAAUCAGAACUGAUUCUUAGCUAAAUUGCUAGCAAAUACAAACAGAACCCACACUAAAAGGAAGAAGCCAGAAAAAGAUUUCCAAUAUUUAAAAUUCAAACCACAAGAGGCUUUCAAAUUCUCAGCAUCUCAAAGAUAGUUUCAUCCGUCUCUCAAAAUUCAAACUACAGCAGCAAACAAUUACUCAUGUUUAUUUUUUUA
rnacentral:lncRNA from 1 species